UACGUAGGGUGCGGGCGUUGUCCGGAAUUAUUGGGCGUAAAGGGCUCGUAGGCGGUUUGUCGCGUCUGGUGUGAAAGCCUUGGGCUUAACUCAGGGCUUGCUUUCGAUACGGGCAGACUAGAGGUAUGCAGGGGAGAACGGAAUUCCUGGUGUAGCGGUGAAAUGCGCAGAUAUCAGGAGGAACACCGGUGGCGAAGGCGGUUCUCUGGGCAUGAUCUGACGCUGAGGAGCGAAAGUGUGGGGAGCGAACAGG
rnacentral:rRNA from 1 species